rnacentral:misc_RNA from 1 species
AAAUAUACCUGCAACUAGAGCACCGACUGCCACACAAGAUGUCCCAACUUGGAGAAGUAAUUCCACUCUACUUACUUCAAGCCUCCGAGAGCUGAUAAAAGAAUAGAGUACAUGUUCAAAGACAGAAGUGUGAGGGACAUUAAACUCCAAAUCAUCAUGCACUACUGAAAACCAUCACCACCAUUGCCAGGGUAUUAGGCCAUGGUUUUUUCUUGUUUUCCAUCUUCCCCCUACCCCCUCACCUGUGUGGUAGGAAUGAGCCCAGUUUCCCCCAAUUUCCAAUUCUCAUCAACAGAAUCUAGAAAUAAAAAUUUCAGUUACCAUAGGAUUGAAUUUAAAUUUACUAAUGAAGAGUCACGAAUGUAGUUAUAUAGUUUAGAUGCGAUUAUUUUUACUUUCAAUCAUAUGGAAAAUAUAAAAUGAGCAAAUUUUAGAAAUGAUUCACAGUUGUGUUUGAUACAAACAAAUUGUCUGAUCUGACUAUUUUAAUCAAUGCAGGCAUAUAUGAAAAUAGAGAUGCUUUUUACGCGCCAACAAACAUGGUUUCUGACCUUAACAAAUCAUGUGCCUUAAUUCUUUAGGUUCCACCAAAGGCAUUAUUUUUCAGUCUGAAGGCAAACAAAAUAAGCAAGAAGAACUAAAGGCAGUUCAUUCUACAUGCCAGUCAAUAUGAAGCAAGCACAUUCACUAUUGAAUCAUCAGAACUGAUCCUGAGCGCAUUUGUGCAUAUAUGCAAGUGCGUUUCUGUACUGUGUAUUAAAGCUUCAAAACUUCAACUUCAGUUAGUAGUAGUGGCAGCAGCAACAGCAAGAAUUACUAUAAUAAUACCAACAACUUAGUUCCUACAGUAGGGCUUUGUUUGUCAUUUUCCAAGUAUCUCAGCAUGAUUUAAGAUAGCUUAUUCUCAGCAUGAUUUAAGAUAGCUUAUUCCAAAAUCAGUGCUGUACUGAACAUGGAAUGCUAGCAUUUUUGUCUUAAGUUCUAAUGCUAAGAAAAGAACAAAAAUUUAUAAUAUCAUCCACAGUCCAACCUUAAAUUAACAGCAAUAGAAUCUUCCAUUUCUUUUGCAGAA